rnacentral:rRNA from 1 species
GACGAACGCUGGCGGCGUGCUUAACACAUGCAAGUCGAACGGAGAUAAUAGUAAUAUUAUCUUAGUGGCGGACGGGUGAGUAACGCGUGGGCAACUUGCCUCAGACUGGGGGAUAACACAGGGAAACUUGUGCUAAUACCGCAUAACUUCAUCGUAGGACAUCCUAUGAUGAUCAAAGGAGUAAUCCGGUUUGAGAUGGGCCCGCGUCCGAUUAGCUAGUUGGCGGUGUAAUGGACCACCAAGGCGACGAUCGGUAGCCGAACUGAGAGGUUGAUCGGCCACAUUGGGACUGAGACACGGCCCAGACUCCUACGGGAGGCAGCAGUGGGGAAUAUUGCACAAUGGGGGAAACCCUGAUGCAGCAACGCCGCGUGAAGGAUGAAGGUUUUCGGAUUGUAAACUUCUUUGAUUGGGGACGAAUAAUGACGGUACCCAAAAAACAAGCCACGGCUAACUACGUGCCAGCAGCAGCCGCGG